GUUAGGAAUAUUGGACUAUGGGCGCAAGCCUGAUCCAGCCAUGCCGCGUGAGUGAUGAAGGCCUUCGGGUUGUAAAGCUCUUUAGCCGAUGAUUAUAAUGACUGUAGUCGGAAAAUAAGCCCCGGCUAACUUCGUGCCAGCAGCCGCGGUAAUACGAAGGGGGCGAGCGUUAUUCGGAAUCACUGGGAGUAAAGCGUGCGUAGGCGGCUUUGCAAGUUAGGAGUGAAAGCCCAGGGCUCAACCCUGGAAUUGCUCUCAAAACUGCAAGGCUCGAAUUCGGGAGAGGAUAGCGGAAUUGUCAGUGUAGCAGUGAAAUGCGUAGAUAUUGACAGGAACACCAGUGGCGUAAGCGGCUAUCUGGACCGAUAUUGACGCUGAGGCACGAAAGCGUGGGGAUCAAACAGGAUUAGAUACCCUAGUAGUCC
rnacentral:rRNA from 1 species